rnacentral:misc_RNA from 1 species
AUUGGAACGAGAAGUAUUACGAAUUUCCUGACCCUUGAAUUGGCAACAAAUUACCAAGGUAUUGAGUUUUUUUAAAUUAUAUACCAAAAAUGACGUUUUAAAAAAUUAGCAUUAAAUUUUUUGUUUAAAAGCAGCUGACAAAAGCAACAAAUCCCAUUCGAAAAUGAGAUUAUUUUUAUCCAAGCAAACUGAAAAGUGACGCUAACAUGAAAAAUAACCAAAGAUAAAAUAAGCUUUAAAUAGCAUGGGCCAAAAUGAUUGGUUAGAACUAUUGACGUCAUCAUUCUAGAAGCUUGUAGAAUGACGAAAUGUCACACCAUUUUCCAUGCGUGAUUCUGUGAAGAGAAGAAGCUGGCGCGGAUUUCCUCUCUUGCGAAGUAGGGUGCCGGUGUCUGGUUAAAUUUUUUGGGCAUAUCUGUAUUUUUCAUUGAUUGUAUUCCUGACAUGGUCUCUGCAGAUAUGUCGUCUUCGGAUGCUCUUCACCCAGCCUGCACAUGGGCCCAGCGAAAUGAUCUCAUAUUCCUCACAAUACUGGUUGAGGAUGUUAAAAACCCUGAAAUCAAGGUAGAAGGAAACAAACUUCACUUCAAAGGCACCGGUGGACCUGACAAGAAAACCUAUGCUGUCGAUAUGGAAUUGUACAAAGAAAUCAAUCCUGAGAAAUCGAAGCAGCUCGUCUCUGGCCGGGGGAUCGACUUUGUGCUAAUCAAGGCCGAGGAGGGUCCCUACUGGCCGCGGCUGCUCAAAGACUCCAAGAAGUGCCACUGGCUCAAGGUGGACUUCAACAAGUGGAAGGACGAGGAUGAGAGUGACGAGGAGGGCGCCGGUGCGCCCGGCGGCGGACCCGGCGGCGACAUGGACAUCGAGGCCAUGAUGAAGCAGAUGGGCGGCCUCGGAGGCAUGGGUGGCAUGGGUGGUAUGGGCGGAAUGGGCGGCAUGGGUGGUAUGGGUGGUAUGGACGGUAUGGGCGCCAACGUGCCUCCGGGGAUGGGCGACGACGACAAAGCAGAAGAGGAGGACUCUGACGACGGGGAUCUGCCCGACCUGGAGGACUAGGAGGCCGUCAGCAAACGGCGACACGACUCUUCAUCCACACCGGACGCGCCAGCACUCCCCCAUCAUCACCCGCGCGCCGCCGCCGCCCCCGCCCGCAGGAGCAGACGCCGCGCCGCCGCCCCCGCCCAGAGCAGCUGGCGCGCCCGUUCGCCGGCCGGCCGUCCGCGCCACCGUUCUGGGUGACCGCCUUGCGUCGGCAGCCAAGUGUUUCCUUUGUAUUGAACUAUGCCGUUCUGUGGUGCAUGUGUUGAUGGGUCGGUCCGUCCGCGGAACGCCAGGCAGUGCCGGCUGACCGCGGCCGGCGGACGUUUUAAAUACAGCCAUAUGUAUUGAUUCAG